AUUGAACGCUGGCGGCAUGCCUUACACAUGCAAGUCGAACGGCAGCACGGGGGCGACCCUGGUGGCGAGUGGCGAACGGGUGAGUAGAAUAUCGGAACGUGCCCUGAAGUGGGGGAUAACGUAGCGAAAGUUACGCUAAUACCGCAUACGAUCUGUGGAUGAAAGCGGGGGAUCUUCGGACCUCGUGCUUUAGGAGUGGCCGAUAACUGAUUAGCUAGUUGGCGAGGUAAAGGCUCACCAAGGCGACGAUCAGUAGCUGGUCUGAGAGGACGACCAGCCACACUGGGACUGAGACACGGCCCAGACUCCUACGGGAGGCAGCAGUGGGGAAUUUUGGACAAUGGGGGCAACCCUGAUCCAGCAAUGCCGCGUGAGUGAAGAAGGCCUUCGGGUUGUAAAGCUCUUUUGUCGGGGAAGAAACGGUGGUGGUUAAUACCUGCUACUAAUGACGGUACCCGAAGAAUAAGCACCGGCUAACUACGUGCCAGCCGCCGCGGUAA
rnacentral:rRNA from 1 species